rnacentral:rRNA from 1 species
GUCUUUAUGAAAUAUUUAUGUAAAGUCUGACCUGCCCAAUGACGUUUAGUUUAAUGGCCGCGGUAUACUGACUGUGCGAAGGUAGCAUAAUAAUUAGUCUAUUAAUUGUAGACUAGAAUGAAUGGUCGAACAAAAAACUAGCUGUCUCUGAGUUAUAUCUUGAAUUUAACAUUUAAGUGAAAAGGCUUAAAUAUCUUAGGGGGACGAUAAGACCCUAUAAAUCUUUAUAUUUCGGGCUAAUUGAGUAAAAAAAUAUAAAAAAAUUUUUAGUUAAUAGUUUAAAAUAUUUUGGUGGGGUGCCAGGGGUAUAAAAUUAACUGCUUUAUAUUUGUAGUUAGUGAUAUCUAGUUAAGUGAUCCUUUAUUAUGGAUUUUAGUAUAAGUUACUUUAGGGAUAACAGCGUAAUUUCUUUUGAGAGUUCAUAUCGAAAUAGAAGUUUGCGACCUCGAUGUUGAAUUAAAGAUCCUUUGUGGUGCAGCAGUUACAAGGGGAGGUCUGUUCGACCUUUAAAUCUUU